AUGGCUUUAGGCUUCCGGGGCCAGCAGGGUCUGAUGUCAACCAUCUGUGGGCUGAAAAGAGGAGCCCAUGAAGGAAAGAUGGAAUAUGUUGGACAGAGAAUGGCCCGCCACUGCCAUCAAGAUGACCCAGCUCAAGCAGCAAGCCUGCCUGCCUCCACUCCUGCCUCCACCACAUCCAUCAGGAUGACCCAGAAAUCCUACAAGGUGUCCACCUCUGGUCCCUGGGCCUUCAGCAGCCACCCCUACACGAGUGGACCCUGUGCCCGCAUCAGCUCCUCGAGCUUCUCCCGAGUGGGCAGCAGCAGCUUCCGGGGCAGCCUGGGUGCAGGCUAUGGUGGGGCCAGCAGCAUGGACACGGACAUGGGUAUGGGAGGCAUCACCGCCGUCAUGGUCAACCAGAGCCUGCUGAGCCCCCUUAACCUGGAAGUGAGCCCCAACAUCCAGGUGUGCGUACCCAGGAGAAGGAGCAGAUCUAGACCAUCAACAACAAGUUUGCUUCCUUCAUCAACAAGAUAGGUUCCUGGAGCAGCAGAACAAGAUGCUGGAGACCAAGUGGAGUCUCCUGCAGCAGCAGAAGACGGCUCGGAGCAACAUGGACAACAUGUUCGAGAGCUACAUCAACAACCUGAGGCGGCAGCUGGAGACUCUGGACCAGGAGAAGCUGAAGCUGGAGGCAGAGUUUGGCAACAUGCAGGGGCUGGUGGAGGACUUCAAGAACAAGUAUGAGCAUGAGAUCAAUAGGCAUACAGAGAUGGAGAAUGAACUUGUCCUCAUCAAGAAGGACGUGGAUGAAGCUUACAUGAACAAGGCAGAGCUGGAGUGUCGCCUGGAAGGACUGACUGACAGGAUCAACUUCCUUUGGUAGCCCUGCAGCGGGCCAGGCAGGACAUGGCGCGGCAGCUGUGUGAGUACCAGGAGCUGAUGAACGUCAAGCUGGCCCUGGACAUUGAGAUCGCCACCUACCACAAGCUGCUGGAGGGCGAGGAGAGCUGGCUGGAGUCUGGGAUACAGAACAUGAGUAUCCAUAGGAAGACCACCAGCGGCUAUGCAGGUGGUCUGAGCUCAGCCUAUGGGGGCCUCACAAGCCCUGGCCUCAGCUAUGGCCUGGGCUCCGGCUUUGGCUCUCGUACGGGCUCCAGCUCCUUCAGUUGCCCCAGCACCACCAAGGCCGUGGUUGUGAAGAAGAUUGAGACCCGCGAUGGGAGGCUGGUGUCCGAGUCCUUUGACGUCCUGCCCAAGUGAACAGCUGCGGCAGUCCCUCCCAGCCUGCCCCUCCUGAGGCUGCCCCAGAGCCCGGGAGGGAGGCCACUGUGCAGGGGAGCACAGGGAACAGGAGACCCACCUGAGGUUCAGCCCUAGCCCUCAGCCCACCAGCUGGGAGUUUACUGCCUGGUGAUCCCCCUUGCCCCUGCCUCCAGCUGCAUAACAAUUCAAUUGCC